AUUGAACGCUGGCGGCAGGCUUAACACAUGCAAGUCGAGCGGAGAUGAGGUGCUUGCAUCUUAUCUUAGCGGCGGACGGGUGAGUAAUGCUUAGGAAUCUGCCUAUUAGUGGGGGACAACAUUCCGAAAGGAAUGCUAAUACCGCAUACGCCCUACGGGGGAAAGCAGGGGAUCUUCGGACCUUGUGCUAAUAGAUGAGCCUAAGUCGGAUUAGCUAGUUGGUGGGGUAAGGGCCUACCAAGGCGACGAUCUGUAGCGGGUCUGAGAGGAUGAUCCGCCACACUGGGACUGAGACACGGCCCAGACUCCUACGGGAGGCAGCAGUGGGGAAUAUUGGACAAUGGGCGGAAGCCUGAUCCAGCCAUGCCGCGUGUGUGAAGAAGGCCUUUUGGUUGUAAAGCACUUUAAGCGAGGAGGAGGCUACCUGGAUUAAUACUCUAGGAUAGUGGACGUUACUCGCAGAAUAAGCACCGGCUAACUCUGUGCCAGCCGCCGCAGUAAUAC
rnacentral:rRNA from 1 species